GGAGGCUCAAUGGUAGAGCCUCUUCUCUGCAUGCAGAAGGUCCCAAGUUCAAUCCCUGUCAUCUCCA
rnacentral:tRNA from 1 species